UACAGAGGGUGCAAGCGUUAAUCGGAAUUACUGGGCGUAAAGCGUGCGUAGACGGUUAUUUAAGUCAGGUGUGAAAUCCCUGGGCUCAACCCAGGAACUGCGUCCGAUACUGGUUGGCUUGAAUCCGGGAGAGGGACGUGGAAUUCCAGGUGUAGCGGUGAAAUGCGUAGAUAUCUGGAGGAACACCGGUGGCGAAGGCGACGUCCUGGACCGGCAUUGACGCUGAGGCGCGAAAGCCAGGGGAGCAAACAGG
rnacentral:rRNA from 1 species